rnacentral:rRNA from 1 species
AGUGAACGCUGGCGGUAGGCCUAACACAUGCAAGUCGAACGGCAGCACAGUAAGAGCUUGCUCUUACGGGUGGCGAGUGGCGGACGGGUGAGGAAUACAUCGGACUCUACUUUUUCGUGGGGGAUAACGUAGGGAAACUUACUCUCAUACCGCAUACGACCUACGGUUGAAAGCAGGGGAUCUUCGGACCUUGCGCGAUUGAAUGAGCCGAUGUCGGAUUAGCUAGUUGGCGGGGUAAAGGCCCACCAAGGCGACGAUCCGUAGCUGGUCUGAGAGGAUGAUCAGCCACACUGGAACUGAGACACGGUCCAGACUCCUACGGGAGGCAGCAGUGGGGAAUAUUGGACAAUGGGCGCAAGCCUGAUCCAGCCAUACCGCGUGGGUGAAGAAGGCCUUCGGGUUGUAAAGCCCUUUUGUUGGGAAAGAAAAGCAGCAGGUUAAUACCCCGCUGUUCUGACGGUACCCAAAGAAUAAGCACCGGCUAACUUCGUG